UGGGGAAUAUUGGACAAUGGGGGGAACCCUGAUCCAGCCAUGCCGCGUGUGUGAAGAAGGCCUUAUGGUUGUAAAGCACUUUAAGCGAGGAGGAGGGUAUUGGUAUUAAUACUACCAGCUACUGGACGUUACUCGCAGAAUAAGCACCGGCUAACUCUGUGCCAGCAGCCGCGGUAAUACAGAGGGUGCGAGCGUUAAUCGGAUUUACUGGGCGUAAAGCGUGCGUAGGCGGCUAAUUGAGUCGGAUGUGAAAUCCCCGCGCUUAACUUGGGAAUUGCAUUCGAUACUGGUUAGCUAGAGUGUGGGAGAGGAUGGUAGAAUUCCAGGUGUAGCGGUGAAAUGCGUAGAGAUCUGGAGGAAUACCGAUGGCGAAGGCAGCCAUCUGGCCUAACACUGACGCUGAGGUACGAAAGCAUGGGGAGCAAACAGG
rnacentral:rRNA from 1 species